rnacentral:rRNA from 1 species
ACGGAGUCAAGAGGAGCUUGCUUUUCUUGACUUAGUGGCGAACGGGUGAGUAACGCGUGAGUAACCUGCCCUGGAGUGGGGGACAACAGUUGGAAACGACUGCUAAUACCGCAUAAGCCCACGAUCCGGCAUCGGAUUGAGGGAAAAGGAUUUAUUCGCUUCAGGAUGGACUCGCGUCCAAUUAGCUAGUUGGUGAGGUAACGGCCCACCAAGGCGACGAUUGGUAGCCGGACUGAGAGGUUGAACGGCCACAUUGGGACUGAGACACGGCCCAGACUCCUACGGGAGGCAGCAGUGGGGGAUAUUGCACAAUGGGGGAAACCCUGAUGCAGCGACGCCGCGUGGAGGAAGAAGGUUUUCGGAUUGUAAACUCCUGUCGUUAGGGACGAUAAUGACGGUACCUAACAAGAAAGCACCGGCUAACUACGUGCCAGCAGCCGCGGUAAAACGUAGGGUGCAAGCGUUGUCCGGAAUUACUGGGUGUAAAGGGAGCGCAGGCGGACCGGCAAGUUGGAAGUGAAAACUAUGGGCUCAACCCAUAAAUUGCUUUCAAAACUGCUGGCCUUGAGUAGUGCAGAGGUAGGUGGAAUUCCCGGUGUAGCGGUGGAAUGCGUAGAUAUCGGGAGGAACACCAGUGGCGAAGGCGACCUACUGGGCACCAACUGACGCUGAGGCUCGAAAGCAUGGGUAGCAAACAGGAUUA